CUAUGACAUUAAAAGGAAAUGGGGAAUGCAUAUAUACUUAUAUUGAAUACAGGAACGAAGCAGUUCUUAGGAAAGAGCUCAGAUACAAUGAAACCAUGAAGCUCUGAUAUUACCUCUGCACUUGAAACUUGGAAGGCAAUGCCAUUAGUUGGUUUUUCGACCGGACCUGUAAUUAGGAAAUGGAACUCGGCCGGAUUCAAUUUCCCUGACAUCCUUAAUAAGAAUUUCAUAGUGUCUCUUGACUUCCUCUGGAGAUUUCCCACCUACAGCUUUUGCCACAUUCUGCCAGCGAUCAGGGGUGUCCUUAUCGUAUAAAGCCAGGGCCUUUUCGAACUGCUUGUUCUGCUUAGGUGUCCAAGAAGAGGAAGAGUUUCUUGAGGAGGUGAGAGAAUUGGAUGCCAUUAGCUUGAAAGAAUAAAUGUGAUUGAAUUUUGAUUUCAACAGAAGAAAAACAGAUUAUGGAUUGCUAUGGGAGCUGGAGAUCACCAUAGGGAGCUCCUUAUAAGCAGGAGGAAAAAAGGUGGUGGGGGAAUAUAUCCACCUAAAUGGUAGAACAAAGGGUGACUCGUCCCUUUGACAACCACAUGAUGGUGGACGACAAAGAACCGCAAGCGAAAGAGAAGAAUCAGUAUCGAAAGGAAAGCCUCUUUAAUUUUCUGAAUGAAAACAAUAUUCUUUGAAUUUUUU
rnacentral:misc_RNA from 1 species